rnacentral:rRNA from 1 species
AGGGGGUUUGAUCUGGGCUCAGAUUGAACGCUGGCGGCAUGCCUAACACAUGCAAGUCGAACGGUAACGAUGGAAGCUUGCUUCCAGGCGACGAGUGGCGGACGGGUGAGUAAUACUUAGGAAUCUGCCCAGUAGUGGGGGACAACUCGAGGAAACUCGAGCUAAUACCGCAUACGCCCUACGGGGGAAAGCGGAGGAUCUUUCGGGACUUCGCGCUAUUGGAUGAGCCUAAGUCGGAUUAGCUUGUUGGUGGGGUAAAGGCCUACCAAGGCAACGAUCUGUAGCUGGUCUGAGAGGACGAUCAGCCACACUGGGACUGAGACACGGCCCAGACUCCUACGGGAGGCAGCAGUGGGGAAUAUUGGACAAUGGGGGCAACCCUGAUCCAGCAAUGCCGCGUGUGUGAAGAAGGCCUGCGGGUUGUAAAGCACUUUCAGUAGAGAAGAAAUGCCCAUGGUUAAUACCCGUGGGUCUUGACGUAACCUACAGAAGAAGCACCGGCUAACUCCGUGCCAGCAGCCGCGGUAAUACGGAGGGUGCGAGCGUUAAUCGGAAUUACUGGGCGUAAAGCGCGCGUAGGCGGUUUGGUCAGUCGGAUGUGAAAGCCCUAGGCUCAACCUGGGAAUGGCAUUCGAUACUGCCUGACUAGAGUAUGGUAGAGGGAAGUGGAAUUUCCGGUGUAGCGGGUGAAAUGCGUAGAUAUCGGAAGGAACACCAGUGGCGAA